AGAGUUCGAUCCUGGCUCAGGAUGAACGCUGGCGGCGCGCCUAACACAUGCAAGUCGAACGGCACCUAUCUUCGGAUAGAAGCGAGUGGCGAACGGCUGAGUAACACGUGGAGAACCUGCCCCCUCCCCCGGGAUAGCCGCCCGAAAGGACGGGUAAUACCGGAUACCCCCGGGCGCCGCAUGGCGCCCGGGCUAAAGCCCCGACGGGAGGGGAUGGCUCCGCGGCCCAUCAGGUAGACGGCGGGGUGACGGCCCACCGUGCCGACAACGGGUAGCCGGGUUGAGAGACCGACCGGCCAGAUUGGGACUGAGACACGGCCCAGACUCCUACGGGAGGCAGCAGUGGGGAAUCUUGCGCAAUGGGGGGAACCCUGACGCAGCGACGCCGCGUGCGGGACGGAGGCCUUCGGGUCGUAAACCGCUUUCAGCAGGGAAGAGUCAAGACUGUACCUGCAGAAGAAGCCCCGGCUAACUACGUGCCAGCAGCCGCGGUAAUACGUAGGGGGCGAGCGUUGUCCGGAAUGAUUGGGCGUAAAGGGCGCGUAGGCGGCCUGCUAAGUCUGGAGUGAAAGUCCUGCUUUCAAGGUGGGAAUUGCUUUGGAUACUGGUGGGCUGGAGUGCAGGAGAGGAAAGCGGAAUUACCGGUGUAGCGGUGAAAUGCGUAGAGAUCGGUAGGAACACCAGUGGCGAAGGCGGCUUUCUGGACUGAAACUGACGCUGAGGCGCGAAAGCGUGGGGAGCAAACAGGAUUAGAUACCCUGGUAGUCCACGCCGUAAACGAUGAUUACUAGGUGUGGGGGGAUUGACCCCUUCCGUGCCGGAGUAAACACAAUAAGUAAUCCACCUGGGGAGUACGACCGCAAGGUUGAAACUCAAAGGAAUUGACGGGGGCCCGCACAAGCAGUGGAGUAUGUGGUUUAAUUCGACGCAACGCGAAGAACCUUACCAGGUCUUGACAUCAAGUGACAGUCUAAGAGAUUAGGCCUUCCCUUCGGGGACACAAAGACAGGUGGUGCAUGGCUGUCGUCAGCUCGUGUCGUGAGAUGUUGGGUUAAGUCCCGCAACGAGCGCAACCCCCGCCGCGUGUUGCCAUCGGGUGAUGCCGGGAACCCACGCGGGACCGCCGCCGUCAAGGCGGAGGAGGGCGGGGACGACGUCAAGUCAUCAUGCCCCUUAUGCCCUGGGCUGCACACGUGCUACAAUGGCCGGUACAGAGGGAUGCCACCCCGCGAGGGGGAGCGGAUCCCGGAAAGCCGGCCCCAGUUCGGAUUGGGGGCUGCAACCCGCCCCCAUGAAGUCGGAGUUGCUAGUAAUCGCGGAUCAGCAUGCCGCGGUGAAUGCGUUCCCGGGCCUUGUACACACCGCCCGUCACACCACCCGAGUCGUCUGCACCCGAAGUCGCCGGCCCAACCGCAAGGGGGGAGGCGCCGAAGGUGUGGAGGGUGAGGGGGGUGAAGUCGUAACAAGGUAGCCGUACCGGAAGGUGCGGCUG
rnacentral:rRNA from 1 species